rnacentral:rRNA from 1 species
CGCCAGACUCCUACGGGAGGCAGCAGUGGGGAAUAUUGCACAAUGGGGGAAACCCUGAUGCAGCGACGCCGCGUGAGCGAAGAAGUAUCUCGGUAUGUAAAGCUCUAUCAGCAGGGAAGAAAAUGACGGUACCUGACUAAGAAGCCCCGGCUAACUACGUGCCAGCAGCCGCGGUAAUACGUAGGGGGCAAGCGUUAUCCGGAUUUACUGGGUGUAAAGGGUGCGCAGGUGGCAGGGCAAGUCAGAUGUGAAAGCCCGGGGCUCAACCCCGGUAUUGCAUUUGAAACUGUCCGGCUAGAGUGCAGGAGAGGUAAGCGGAAUUCCUAGUGUAGCGGUGAAAUGCGUAGAUAUUAGGAGGAACACCAGUGGCGAAGGCGGCUUACUGGACUGUAACUGUCGCUGAGGCACGAAAGCGUGGGGAGCAAACAGGAUUAGAUACCCCGGUA